CCCUUAGAUGUUCUGGGCCGCACGCGCGCUACACUGAUGCAUUCAACGAGUCUAAAACCUGGUCUGAUAGGGCUGGGUAAUCUUUUGAAAGUGCAUCGUGAUUGGGAUAGAUGAUUGCAAUUCUUCAUCUUCAACGAGGAAUGCCUAGUAAACGCAAGUCAUCAGCUUGCAUUGCUUACGUCCCUGCCCUUUGUACACACCGCCCGUCGCUCCUACCGAUUGAAUGAUCCGAUGAAUACCAUGGAUUGAGAGUACGAAUGGGUUCGCUCAUUUCUGCUGCUCGAGAAGUGGAGUAAAUCUUAUCAUUUAGAGGAAGGAGAAGUCGUAACA
rnacentral:rRNA from 1 species